CUUUGGAUUGAAGGGAGCUCU
rnacentral:miRNA from 1 species